UCCGGUUUGUCACCGGCAGUCUCAUUAGAGUGCCCUUUCGUAGCAACUAAUGACAAGGGUUGCGCUCGUUGCGGGACUUAACCCAACAUCUCACGACACGAGCUGACAACAGCCAUGCAGCACCUGUCUCUCGGUUCCCGAAGGCACCCCCGCAUCUCUGUAGGGUUCCGAGGAUGUCAAGGGCAGGUAAGGUUCUUCGCGUUGCAUCGAAUUAAACCACAUGCUCCACCGCUUGUGCGGGUCCCCGUCAAUUCCUUUGAGUUUCAGCCUUGCGGCCGUACUCCCCAGGCGGGGCACUUAAUGCGUUAGCGCCGGCACUCGGAGGGUCGCUCCCCCAAGCACCUAGUGCCCAUCGUUUACGGCGUGGACUAC
rnacentral:misc_RNA from 1 species